CGUGGGGAGAGCCUCUGCCGCUUCUUCUUCUUUGUGUCCCCCAGCCGGGGGGAGGAGACAAAAUCUAGUUUCAGACUCCACCCCCAACCUCGGGACACUCUGCUUCUUCUAGGUGGAAGCCCAGGAGACCCAGCAUGUCCCAGGAGAUGAGGGCCCCAGAGGAACUCAGUCCCAGCCCCUGGAAACCCGUUUCAUUGUUUCCACAACAGCACCAGCCCAGAAACAAGGCAGGAGACUCAACGGGGAGGCAGACUUUGCCAAGUCGCUUUCCUGUCUCAGGGACCUCGGCCUCUUUCCAACUUAAGAUCAAAGAAUUUUCAGAAUAUAAGAGCCCCUGGAAACGACCUGGUGCAAGCUCCUUGAUGUACAAAAGUGGAAAUCGGGGCCCAGAUGGAGAUCCCCUCAGGACAGAUCACUGCCCAGCCUCAUCUUCCAGGCUCGAACUUGCCCAUGUGCAGUUUCCUCCUGUUGGUUCCAGUCAUCUGUCAAUUGUCCUGGGAAGGCAAGGAGCUCAAGGGUGAAUGGCAGGAGAUUCUGAUUCCUCCUCCUGAGUGGGCUCCGUCCUGCCCACUUGGCCCCAUCUCAGAACUGACCUGGGUGAAUCUCUCCAAAAGGUCUCACCUGUGCCAGCUGGGUACUAAGGACCCAAAAGUGAAUCAGAACAUAGAUAUGUGAAAAGAUAUUUAACCUUGUUCAUAAUCAGAGAAAUAUAAAUUAAAAUUAAGCCAAGGGUUAUGUUUAAGUUUAUCAGAUUGGCAAAGCCUCAGAUGUUUGAUAACAUACUCUUUUGGCAAGACUGCGGGAAAUGACGUUCUCCCAUAACUGUGUGUGGUGGGUAUACAAAAAGGGGCAAGCUCUCUGUAGAAGGAAUUUGGUAAUUUCUAGAAAAAUUACAUAUGUGCUUAUUCUUGAACAUUAUUUGUCAUUGCCUUUCUUUGGGAUUGGAAUGAAAAAAGACCUUCUGCUGUCCUGUGGUCACUGCUGUGUUUUCCAUAUUUGCUAGCAUAUUGAGUGCAGCACUUUCACAGCAUCAUCUUUUAGGAUUUUAAAGUCUUAGGUUUUAUUUAAAAUAUCAGUAUGAGCUCUUGGUGUGAAUUUUAUUAAGCCAAAAGUAUUUCCCAGCUCUGCACCCUGAAAUAACCUAGACAUAAUGACAGCCAGAUAGCACUGAGCACUCCUCGCAUCCAGGCUUGUGGUCUCUCAUGUCACUUCUCAUUUAAGGAACCAGAACUUCUUGGAUAAAUAGCUGAUUCCAGAUUUGGGCCAAAAAUGCACAAGACAAAUCUGGACAUCUUGUCAUACCAGAAAGUCAAGAAGCUACUAAACACUGCUUCGGAUUCAGAUCAAAAGGACUCAGAAGUCAAUUAAAGAGAGCUCUACUGGCCAAAAAUGGGAUGAUUUGAUAAUAACUAUAAUAGAGUCGGAGAAGGCAAUGGCACCUCACUCCAGUACUCUUGCCUGGGAAAUCCCAUGGAUGGAGGAGCCUGGUAAGCUACAGUCCUUGGGGCUGCUAAGAGUCGGACACGACUGAGUGACUUCACUUUCACUUUCACUUUCAUGCAUUGGAGAAGGAAAUGGCAACCCACUCCAGUGCUCUUC
ensembl:lncRNA